rnacentral:rRNA from 1 species
UACGUAGGUGACAAGCGUUGUCCGGAUUUACUGGGCGUAAAGGGCGCGUAGGCGGCCUUCUAAGUCGAACGUGAAAUCCCCGGGCUCAACCCGGGAACUGCGUCCGAUACUGGAAGGCUUGAAUCCGGGAGAGGGAUGCGGAAUUCCAGGUGUAGCGGUGAAAUGCGUAGAUAUCUGGAGGAACACCGGUGGCGAAGGCGGCGUUCUGGACUGUAUCUGACACUGAGGAACGAAAGCCAGGGGAGCAAACGGG